UGGGCGAUGGUGCAAUCGGCAGCACGCCUGACUUUGGAUCAGGAGGUUCCAGGUUCGAUCCCUGGUCGCUCAG
rnacentral:tRNA from 1 species